CAGUAGCCGCGGGAAUACGUAGGGUGCAAGCGUUAAUCGGAAUUACUGGGCGUAAAGCGCACGCAGGCGGUCUGUCAAGUCAGAUGUGAAAUCCCCGGGCUUAACCUGGGAACUGCAUUUGAAACUGGCAGGCUAGAGUCUUGUAGAGGGGGGUAGAAUUCCAGGUGUAGCGGUGAAAUGCGUAGAGAUCUGGAGGAAUACCGGUGGCGAAGGCGGCCCCCUGGACAAAGACUGACGCUCAGGUGCGAAAGCGUGGGGAGCAAACAGGAUUAGAUACCCCCUAGUCCCUGUCUCUUAUACA
rnacentral:rRNA from 1 species